UGGGGAAUAUUGGACAAUGGGCGCAAGCCUGAUCCAGCCAUGCCGCGUGAGUGGUGACGGCCCUAGGGUUGUAAAGCUCUUUCACCGGUGAAGAUAAUGACGGUAACCGGAGAAGAAGCCCCGGCUAACUUCGUGCCAGCAGCCGCGGUAAUACGAAGGGGGCUAGCGUUGUUCGGAUUUACUGGGCGUAAAGCGCACGUAGGCGGACUUUUAAGUCAGGGGUGAAAUCCCGGGGCUCAACCCCGGAACUGCCUUUGAUACUGGAAGUCUUGAGUAUGGUAGAGGUGAGUGGAAUUCCGGGUGUAGAGGUGAAAUUCGUAGAUAUUCGGAGGAACACCAGUGGCGAAGGCGGCUCACUGGACCGUUACUGACGCUGAGGUGCGAAAGCGUGGGGAGCAAACAGG
rnacentral:rRNA from 1 species